rnacentral:misc_RNA from 1 species
CCUACACACCCAGCGCAAUGUUUUGGUGAUGCACGUAGACUCGCAUACGUUGCCAGGUGAGCCCAGCCCUUCUGUCGCCACGUUGGACUCGCUAGUUGCUGAGCCUUCGCCUCCAGUGCAAAGAUGGCUGAACCACAACAAAUGGAUUUGGAAAAUGAUUUGUCCUAUAAUUCCGAUGACGAUGUAGUGAUCAUCGAGGAGUCGCCCACUGUUAAUGACGUAGGAAUAAAGGCGUGUAUGGCCGGGAAGCGGAAGGUGGUGUGUAGCGGGGAGGGCCCGCCCCCCAGGAGGCAAAGGAGGAGGAGGAGGAACGGUUGCGGUGUGAGGAGCAGGAGUAGGAGUCGCAGCAGGAGUCGCAGCAGGAGCGACACCUGCCGGAAGGGCUGGGCGGCCGCGGGGGACGCUACCCACAGGGCCGGCUGGCUCAAACGCAAGUAUGCCUGCUUGUGGAUCCUUCCAAAAUCACCAACAUUACUGUCUGUCUGUGUGUGUCUCUGUGUGUCUCUCUGUAUGUCUCUCUGUAUGUCUCUCUGUAUG